rnacentral:rRNA from 1 species
GAUGAACGCUGGCGGCGUGCCUAAUACAUGCAAGUCGAGCGAACAGACGAGGAGCUUGCUCCUCUGACGUUAGCGGCGGACGGGUGAGUAACACGUGGAUAACCUACCUAUAAGACUGGGAUAACUUCGGGAAACCGGAGCUAAUACCGGAUAAUAUAUUGAACCGCAUGGUUCAAUAGUGAAAGACGGUUUUGCUGUCACUUAUAGAUGGAUCCGCGCCGCAUUAGCUAGUUGGUAAGGUAACGGCUUACCAAGGCAACGAUGCGUAGCCGACCUGAGAGGGUGAUCGGCCACACUGGAACUGAGACACGGUCCAGACUCCUACGGGAGGCAGUAGUAGGGAAUCUGCCGCAAUGGGCGAAAGCUUGACGGAGCAACGCCGCGUGAGUGAUGAAGGUCUUCGGAUCGUAAAACUCUGUUAUUAGGGAAGAACAAAUGUGUAAGUAACUAUGCACGUCUUGACUGUACCUAAUCAGAAAGCCACGGCUAACUACGUG